rnacentral:rRNA from 1 species
CUCUCUGGUCUGUAACUGACGCUGAGGCUCGAAAGCGUGGGGAGCGAACAGGAUUAGAUACCCUGGUAGUCCACGCCGUAAACGAUGAGUGCUAGGUGUUAGGUCCUUUCCGGGACUUAGUGCCGCAGCUAACGCAUUAAGCACUCCGCCUGGGGAGUACGACCGCAAGGUUGAAACUCAAAGGAAUUGACGGGGGCCCGCACAAGCGGUGGAGCAUGUGGUUUAAUUCGAAGCAACGCGAAGAACCUUACCAGGUCUUGACAUCCCAGUGACUGCCCUAGAGAUAGGGUUUCCCUUCGGGGCACUGGUGACAGGUGGUGCAUGGUUGUCGUCAGCUCGUGUCGUGAGAUGUUGGGUUAAGUCCCGCAACGAGCGCAACCCUUAUUGUUAGUUGCCAUCAUUGAGUUGGGCACUCUAGCGAGACUGCCGGUGAUAAACCGGAGGAAGGUGGGGAUGACGUCAAAUCAUCAUGCCCCUUAUGACCUGGGCUACACACGUGCUACAAUGGCUGGUACAACGAGUCGCAAGCCGGUGACGGCAAGCUAAUCUCUGAAAGCCAGUCUCAGUUCGGAUUGUAGGCUGCAACUCGCCUACAUGAAGUCGGAAUCGCUAGUAAUCGCGGAUCAGCACGCCGCGGUGAAUACGUUCCCGGGCCUUGUACACACCGCCCGUCACACCACGAGAGUUUGUAACACCCGAAGUCGGUGAGGUAACCGUAAGGAGCCAGCCGCCUAAGGUGGGAUAGAUGAUUGGGGUGAAGUCGUAACAAGGUAGCCGUAUCGGAAGGUGCGGCUGGAUCACCUCCUU